ACAGGCCGCUGGUGUAUCUGUUGUAGUGCCAACUGCAUGGCAGAGUAGCCAAGCCUGGAAGGGAUAAACGCUGAAGGCAUCUAAGCGUGAAGCCCCCCUCAAGAUGAGAUAUCCCAUUCGUGAGAAGUAAGACCCCUUGAAGACGACGAGGUAGAUAGGGCAGAGGUGGAAGUGCAGCAAUGUAUGGAGCUGACUGCUACUAAUCGGUCGAGGGCUUGACCAGAA
rnacentral:rRNA from 1 species